AACGAACGCUGGCGGCAGGCUUAACACAUGCAAGUCGAACGCUCGUAGCAAUACGGGAGUGGCAGACGGGUGAGUAACGCGUGGGAACAUACCCUUUGGUUCGGAAUAACUGAGAGAAAUUUCAGCUAAUACCGGAUGUGCCCUUCGGGGGAAAGAUUUAUCGCCAAAGGAUUGGCCCGCGUCUGAUUAGGUAGGUGGUGAGGUAACGGCUCACCAAGCCGACGAUCAGGAGCUGGUCUGAGGGGAUGAUCAGCCACACUGGGACUGAGACACGGCCCAGACUCCUACGGGAGGCAGCAGUGGGGAAUAUUGGACAAUGGGGGCAAACCUGAUCCAGCCAUGCCGCGUGAGUGAUGAAGGCCUUAGGGAUGUAAAGCUCUUUCGCUAGGGAAGAUAAUGACGGUACCUAGAGAAGAAGCCCCGGCUAACUUCGUGCCAGCCGCCGCGGUAA
rnacentral:rRNA from 1 species